CGCGUGGUUCUAUUUUGUUGGUUUUAAGAACCGCCGUAAUGAUUAAUAGGGACAGUCGGGGGCAUCUGUAUUCAAUUGUCAGAGGUGAAAUUCUUGGAUCAAUUGAAGACAAACUACUGCGAAAGCAUUUGCCAAGGAUGUUUUCAUUGAUAAGGAACGAAAGUUAGGGGAUCGAAGACGAUCAGAUACCGUCGUAGUCUUAACUAUAAACUUUGCCGACUAGGGAUCGGACGAUGUUAUUUACUGACUCGUUCGGCACCUUUCGAGAAAUCAAAGUGCUUGGGCUCCAGGGGGAGUAUGGUCGCAAGGCUGAAACUUAAAGAAAUUGACGGAAGGGCACCACCAGGGGUGGAACCUGCGGCUUAAUUUGACCCAACACGGGGAAACUCACCAGGUCCAGACACAGUGAGGAUUGACAGAUUGAUAGCUCUUUCUUGAUUCUGUGGGUGGUGGUGCAUGGCCGUUCUUAGUUGGUGGAGUGAUUUGUCUGCUUAAUUGCGAUAACGAACGAGACCUUAACCUGCUAAAUAGCCCGUAUUGCUCCGGCAGUACGCUGGCUUCUUAGAGGGACUAUCGGCUCAAGCCGAUGGAAGUUUGAGGCAAUAACAGGUCUGUGAUGCCCUUAGAUGUCCUGGGCCGCACGCGCGUUACACUGACAAAGCCAGCGAGUAUUUCCUUANCCGGAAGGCUUGGGUAAUCUUGUUAAACUUUGUCGUGC
rnacentral:rRNA from 1 species